GUGGGCCCGGCUCCGCAGCCAUGUGAGCCCUCCGGGCCUCCCGGGCGCUGUGGGUGUCCUCCCUGGGGCCGAGCACCACUCCGCUGGCUCCUCAAGUGCCGCUCCCUACUGUCAAUGAGGAUUCCCCAGCAUAUACGGAAGUGAAGAGACAGUGCCAAAGGACGAUGAUCAUAAAGGAAUCUCAGUACCUGUGUUAUUGUUGGAGUCCAGGGUCGUCAUGUCUUCACCGGCUGACAGCGGUCAUUCAAACUGGACCUUGACACAGACUGGAGGUUGCAACUGCUGCUUUCGUCCCCUGGACACUGACUGAGGGCGGGGAGUGAACCCCAGGGAUCACAAGCAAGAUCCGAGGCACCCUGCAGCAAGGUCUCGGGGUGGCCUGACUGCAGCCCUGCAGAAGGGGAGAAGAACAUCCCUAAGGGAGGAGGAGUUGCCAUGCGGGUGAGGUUGUCUCUAGGGAUUCCCUGUCUUGUAUGACACCAUCUCACUCAUUGGGGUGACUUUGAGACAGUUCCUGGAGCAGCACUGAUGGACGCCUGGAAACAUGACAGCAAAGAGGGAAAGGGCCAGGGGUCAAGACUCUCUCCCUGACGUUGCAGCCAGUGAGAGGGAAGAGGAAACGGAGGCAGGGAGAGCUGAAAUUCAGUCAGUCUAACUCUUGGCAAGGAGCUGGGUUGUUUUGCAGUCUAAGUGAGCAGCUACUGGGAGAAAGAUGGAGACCUAUGCGGCCUAGAGGCACCAAAGGGAGGGAGAAAAAGCUGAGUUGUCUGGUUUUUGGAGACACGGACUAGAAUCUAGCUUUGGCCUCUCUUUGACCUCAACCUUGACCUUAAGACAACAGAUAAGGAACCUGAAGCUUUGAGACAUUUGUUAGCUUGCUUGGGAAGAGGCAGAUGCUAGCUGAUUUGCCUUAAAGCUGUAUUUGGAGUGAAACACUGCAGAUUGAGAAGAUGUCACAUCAGGAGCGCCUGGAUGGCUCAGUCGAUGGAACAUCUGACUCUUGAUUUUGGCUCACAUCAUGAUGCCAGGGUCGUGGG